rnacentral:lncRNA from 10 species
ACAGCAGCCGAGAAGGGUUUGGGGAGCUGAGAGGAGGGGGAGGCCAAGCCCAGGAGCAAGAGGAUAACUCUUUUAGCAGAGCAGAUUCAUUGACAAUGCUGAAGUCAGUUAAAGCCACAGCACCAUGUUCCUCUGGAGGAUUUCCCAAUGGCUUGGAGUAAGGGAACCAGGGCCACAUGCCUGAAGUCUCUGUCUUGGACCCACUCUUUCUAGGCUGUCUCCUCCUUGGAUUCUUGAUUCUAAACUCUCUUGAGUUCCCUCCCCUGCCUCCUCUCUUCCAAAUCUCCUAUUCAAGCACUCCUAUUGCGUACCAACUAUGUCCUUGGAACUGCACUAGCCACCAGGGAUAUAAAGGUAAGAUAAGUCUCUGCCCUCAGGGAGCUCUUAACAGCUCUAGUCUGCUCAGCCUAGAAGACUAUCUCCUAAAACAAACUUCUUUCUGGACUGUGGCACCUUUUUUUUUUUUUUUUUUUUUUCACUUGAACUAUGGCAGUUCUUCAACCAGGAGAGCUGGGAUCAGAACCCAGGUCCGUCUGACAUGCCCAGGGUUCUCCUUCCAGAGUGCCACUCUCUGCCUCCCAGUCAAUUAGAAAAACAUGUCUACUUGGCUGCAUGGCCAUGUCAGCCUCUGAUGGCAGCUACUGUCCUCUUGUUGAUGAGAUACCAUGUAACUUUAGGUGGACUUCAAUGUUCUCACAUUUAAAAUGGAAGACUUGGCCAGGUGCGGUGGCUCACGCCUGUAAUCCCAGCAGUUUGGGAGGCCGAGGCGGGUGGAUUACCUGAGGUCAGGAGUUUGAGACCAGCCUGGCCAACAUGGUGAAACCCUGUCUCUACUAAAAAUACAAAAAUCAGCCGGGUGUGGUGAUGCAUGCCUGUAAUCCCAGCUACUUGGGAGGCUGAGGCAGGAGAAUCGCUUGAAUCCAGGAGGUGGAACUUGCAGUGAGCUGAAAUCAUGCCACUGCACUCCAGCCUAGGCAACAGAGUGAGACUCCAUCUCAAUAAAAUGAAAUAAAAAAUGGCAGACUCACCAGGCACAGUGACACAUGCCUGUCAUCUCAGCACUUUGGGAGGCUGAAGUAGGAGGAUCACUUGGGACCUGGAGUUUGAGACCAGCCUUGUGACGCAGCAAGGCUCCAUCUCUACAAAACUGAAAAAAAAAUUAUGGCCAGGCGCUGUGGCUCACAGCCUGUAAUCCCAGCACUUUGGGAAGCCAAGGUGGGAAGAUUGCUUGAGCCCAGGAGUUCAAGACCAGCCUGGGUGAUAUAGUGACAUCUCUUCUCUAUUAAAAAAAAAAAAAAAAAAGCCUGGGCACGGUGGCUCACGCCUGUAAUCCCAGCACUUUGGGAGGCUGAGGCGGGCAGAUUAUAAAGUCAGGAGUUCGAGACCAGUCUGGCCAACAUAGCGAAACCCCGUCUCUACUAAAAAUACAAAAAAUUAGCAGGUAUGGUGGUGUGCGCCUGUAAUCCCAGCUACUUGGGAGGCUGAGGCAGGGGAAUUGUGUGAACCCGGGAGGCGGAGGUUGCAGUGAGCCGAGGUCCCACCAUUGCACUUCAGCCUGGGUGACAGUGCGAGACCCCGUCUCAAAAACAAAAACAAAACAGGCCAGGGUGGUGGCUCACACCUGUAAUCCUAGCACUUUUGGAGGCUGUGUUGGGUGGAUCACCUGAGGUCAGGAGUUCAAGACCAGCCUGACCAACAUGGUGAAAUCCCCUCUUUACUAAAUACAAAAAAGAAUCACUUGAACCCGGGAGAUGGAGGUUGCAGUGAACUGAGAUCAUGCCAUUACACUCCAGCACGGGCAGCAAGAGCGAAACUCCAUCUCAAAAAACAAACAAACAACAACAACAAAAAAACAAUGAGCUGGGCAUGGUGGCACAUGCCUCCAGUCCCAGCUACUUGGGAGGCUAUGGCGGGAGGAUGGCUUGAGCCCAGGAGUCUGAGGCUUUGGUGAGCCAUGAUUGCACCACUGCACUCCAGCCUGGGUGACAGAGCUGGAAAUAAAGUAUAUAAAGAGAAGACCCCUUCCUUACUCAGGAGGUCAAACUAUGUGACAGGUGUAAAAAUGGUUUAAAAUAAAGGUGUGGAAGAAAUGCUGGAGAUCAUUGUCAUAAUCCUAGGAACAGCCAGGGAUGGGGGAGUCCUGGAGGAUUGGAUUUGGAGGUAAGAUGCGGUGCUCACCAAAUGUUGGUCCAUUGGGAAGUGGUGGCACCUCUAUCCUUGAGACCUGAGGCUGGAAAAUGCUGUGAGGAUGAGAAAAUACCAGUCAUUCAGGGUUGGAGGAGACUUGAAUGCUCCAUUUUAAAAAAUGUAGCCGCCCUGCGUGGUGGCUCACGCCUGUAACCCCAACACUCUGGGAGACCGAGGAGGGUGGAUCACCUGAGAUCGGGAGUUCGAGACCAGCCUGACCAACAUGGAGAAACCCUGUCUCUACUAAAAAUACAAAAUUAGCCAGGCGUGGUGGCACAUGCCUGUAAUCCCAGCUACUUGGAAGGCUGAAGCAGGAGAAUCGCUUGAACCCGGGAGGUGGAGAUUGCGCCAUUGCACUCCAGUCUGGGCAACAAGAGUGAAACUGUCUC